CUCUCUGUCCCAAAAAUAAAUAAACGUUGAAAAAAAAAUUAAAAAAAAAAAAAAGAAAUUUAUUCCUUAGGAUUAUCGAUAAUCAGACUCUCUGUUACCCCUAGCCACUGGCCUCAGAUCUACCCUUCAGAGCUCUGCAAUAACUAAGAAAAAGUCCAUCCUUCUCCCAAGCUGCUCUCCCCCAGGCUGCUGUUGUAAUCAAAGGAGAUUUCUUUCCAGAACCAUGUUAAUCAAACUAUCACUAAUAAGUCAAAUCCCAAUAGAAUGUGGGCCGCAGCAUUGUCCCAAUUAUUUUGUUGUGUUAGGAUUUUAUGCCAUCAAAAAAAUACUUGAAAUAAAUGGGAUUCCACCUGGGGCCUAACAUUCUUUCAGUUAUAGAAAGAUUUGCAUCAUAGCAAUAUUUGUUUUAUUGGGAUUUAACCUGCCCAUCGUUCUGCUGAGUGCCUGAGUAGGAAUGUGGGAAAUAGCUUUCUACCACCAUAAGCUCAGAAAAAAUGUCAGUGAAAUGCUGGCAAAUAGAUUAUGAUUGCAUCGACAGCUCUUUUCAUAAGCUAAUGGGCUGUCUAACCUACUCAUGCCUGCUGUCCCCCAUAGGGUCUUGUGAGCACACUGCCAAGGAGCUCGUUGGAUUUGGCAAAUUGAUACACUGGGCUUGUUUGACUUCCCAUUUCUAUGAAUGAUCGUUAGAUACGUUAACAAUAUGUUAAUGUGCUUAGAACGCCUAAUGGGGCAUUAGUUAGGCAAAUACGCAACUCAGUUGAGAGCUCUCCUGUUAACACAGGCAAAAAUCUAUUCUUUUUCUUAAUAAUGGAUUCCCUUCCUGGUUCAAGUGGAAAAUUUUAAAUGUGUACAUACGCACAAAGUUUCUUAGUCCUAUAAUUUACAUUUGAUCGUCAGGACUUGUGUAGAAGAGAUAACACGCCAUUUUACUUGAAGGACUCAAGGAAUCCAAGCAACGUGAGGGCUAAAAAACAUAUGAAAAACUGGAACCUUGCUAGUAAACAAAAUCUUUUUUUAAUACAUUUUAAGUUCGAAUAUCUAGCAUUGGCAUGGCUGGGGAAAACACUUUUAUACACUCCUUGUGGGAGCAUAAAUUGAGACAAUCUUUCUGAAAUGCAAUUUGGCAAACAUAACAAAAGCCUUUAAAGUGUGCAUACCCUUUGACCCAGACCCAAUGAUUUCACUUCUAGGAAUUUAUUCUAAGGAAGUAACACUGGGUGUGUGCAAAGAUUUAUUUACAAUGCUUAUUUAGAUGCCUAUUGCAACAUUAUUUACAAUAGCAGUAAUUGAAAAAAACCAAAUAGCUAACAAAAGGAAAUUGGCUUUUUAAGAAACAUGAUACACUCGCUUACCCAACGUGUUAUUACACUGGCCUUAAAAUACGUGUUAUAGAAGAACUAUUAAUAUGAAAACAAAAUCACAAUAUACUGUUAAGAUUGUUUUAAAUACAAGUUUCAAAACCAUAUUUUUAGGAUAUCAGUUUUGCAAACAAGUUUUAAACAAACAUAGAAGAAAACAUACCAAAAUUUAAUAAGGCUUAUGUCUGCAAGUUGGGUUUAUGGGGGGUUAUUAGUUCCUUUUUCUCUCUCCUGAAUAUUUCUAAAUAUUUUACAAUGAACACAGUGCGUUUGGUGUACAAAAAUAUUAUAAUGAGAUAGAAUCUUACAUGUAAAAGGGAGUCUAAUUUUUCAAGAUGCUGCUGUUACUAGGAAAUCAGACACAUUUUUCCUACUGCCUUAACUCACAAUGCCAAGUGAACAUUUCUUUUGCAUUUCUAACUAGUACAGAGCCAAACAGUCUCCAUCUUUAAAGCAAGUCUGAACACCAAUGGACAAUUUCACAAUUAACCAAGAUACCCAACUCAGUUCCAUUUGAAAUGAACAGAGGACAUAGUGACGCACAUUUCAGUUUGGGCAAGGGACAAUGCCAGAAGACUGUGGUGAAGACGAGCUCCUGCGCAGAGGCGGCCAAACUUUAGCAGGCUGUAUAAAAAUGUGCAUGGAAUAUGAACAAGAAGAUCGAAGGGACUAUGGAAAAUAAAAAGUGUUGCACGUGACAAAAGGACCAUAGGUAACUUUUUCUUUAAUAUUAUCUUUUAUACUAUCUUCUUAAUAUUUCGGUAGGUUCAUACCUGUAUUCUUAGCCAGCUGCUUACCUACAUCUGCUUUCCCUACCCAGUUAGAUUUCAUACAUCUGUCUCUAUCAAGAUAUUUAUGGUUCUGUUGUGCUGACUUGUUCCUACCUCACUUACCAUGUAGAUCCUUCUGUAAGUGAAUCCCACGUGAUAUUGGGCAAGAAGUGACUAAAUGAUGAUGUUCCAGACUGCUGUUGCUUGGAUGAUGUUUAAUGAUACUGUCACUGUGCUUGCAAAAGCAGGAUCCAUUUUCAGGUUGGACUCUGAUCAGGAAGAGACUCUUGCCACCAAAAAGGCUUUAAAACCCUUCCCAGCAACCAACAUGCACAGACCAGAGCUGCCACGGCUGCUGAAUCCUGAUCUGCAGCAGAGAAAUGCGGCUCCAGCACCAUCGGUGAACAAUAGUGCCCCUGCAUGGUAAGAGCAAAUGAAAUGAAGCUUCCUCAUGGGCAAAGCUUCCAUAAUUCAAAUUGUUUACCAGAGUCCUGAGAGCAAAACCAAAGGGAACUUGCCAUGCAGGAAUGAGUGCCUGGAAAAUGAAUAAGCACCGUUGGGUCUGAAUUCCAGUUUAGCUCCUACUUUGCAGCACUACCUUGACCAAGUUAUUUCCCCUCCCCGGGCCUCAGUUCUUCAGCUGUGAAGUAAAAGAGUUUUAGAAAGUUCUUAUUCAGUGGGAAACCCAUCCCAUGUAUUCUGCACAAGACACUCUUCCCACAUAGCUAAAGAGGCAAAUAUAUGUCCCGGGACUUGUCUCCAUGUCCCAGGAAGAUGAAGACCACCAUAAAGGGGCACUUGAGUUGGUGAUUCUGGGUCUUACUGUGAUUUACUGAUAACCUGGCUCUCUGAAGAAAAAAGUUCCGAUUUGCAGAACUUGCCAACUUCCAUGUGAAAUAAUCAAGGAGCGAAUUGGAUGGUCCAACUAAGUUUUCUGAUGUUGCAUUACUGAAACACAAUACCCACUGAACCUGGAAGGCCGCUGCACCGAGUUUCCAAUGACCCCUCGUAUCCCACUCUGGAUUCACUCCCGAUUCACUGCCAGAUUCCCCCGGAGGAUGCUCCAAGUUCCCUCUGUAAUCAGUCCCCACAUUAUCAACUUCAUGAGCCUGGAGCAGGAGAGAGGAGUCCUUUCUCCCAGACCUCUUCAGCAGAUGUCCCAGAGCUUACAACUGUGAUGGUGAAUCUUCCCUCCCCCAUGAGGCAGAUCUUCUAUCCCGAGAGCUGCGGGACACAAUGAGAAGACUGCAAGUCUAGGGAUCGGAGUCCUGGUCCUAACUCCGCCACUGGAUAGUUGUGGGAAAUCUACUUAACCCAUUGGUGCCAGGUAUUCCAGGGAAUGAUAAUGAGAAAAGAGUGAGAUAAUGUCUGGGGAGCCCUUUGAGCUCCUCAGUGGCAAGCGGCUACACAAACACAAGGUGUUAUUACUUCCAAGCCCUUAUUGGCCAAGGACAUCACAGUUAAAGCUCCUGCAGAAACCUCCUCUCUCCCCCACAUAAGAAAGGACUGCCUGGUCCUUUAGCUUCUCAUCCAGCUGAAAUCCCCAAGCUCUGCAGGAGUUGGAGGCAGUCCACCAGCUGGUUAAAGAGGAGGAGUACCAUUGAAGUGAGGGCUUAAAUCUUAAAAUCACAGUUCCUUCCAACUGAAAAGAAUAUUAGCAAGUCAGCACACAGUCCUUAUUUAGAGAAAAAGAAGCUGAGUCCCGAAAGUUUCCUGUGCAAUUCACAUUCCCUGAAGGCCCACUGGGCGCAAGGGAAGUGCCAGGCUUAAGAAGGAGACUGGGAUCUGGUCUUAGACGCUACCGAACUCUCCGGCUAGCCAGGAACACGGGCACGUCCGCAUUUCGUGGACAAUGGGAUAUGGGCAGCAUUGCAAAGCGUUACCAGGACUAUGACAAAGACUGAGCCAAAGGUGUCGUGCAGCCACAUGGACUUGGGCAAAACAUUUCAACUUUGAGGUUCCGAAAAAUGGAAACAAAAGCCAGGCUAUCCCUCUCCAACAUUCCUGUUACAUCCGACAGCUCCCUCGUAAUUUCCUGAUGACUGGCAGAUUUGCUCCUUCUGAGAAAGUAGGGAAAGGAGCAUUGUGAUUCUCUCUCUUGAGGCUUUGAGAGCUGGAGUUCCAAGCACAUGGCCCCGACCUGACUCCCAGAUGGGUCACCUGGAGAAGAACGAGGGAGGUAACUAGACUCCAGGCCCCUGUGGCUUGCUCCGUGCAGGUGAACACCUGUGAUCGCUAACCUCCUUUCAGCAUUAAAGUUCUGUGAAUCGACACAUUUAACGAGAGGUUGAAGGCUACCUGAUACUGAGGAACUUUGAAGAAGUAUUUGGUAUGAUCAGAAAACUGCAGAAGAGGGGCGCCUGCGUGGCUCAGUCGGUUAAGCGUCCGACUUCGU